CGGGAAUUGUGCACUCGGUUACUGUGUCACCAACAGCUGUUGCUGCACUGCGAGAAAAUGCCACCCAUGUAGGAGUGUACAGAACAGCUCGCAGCAUUCUUGGCAUUCUGAUUCAGUCUACUUGCCAUUUCGCAAUUGCCAGACGCAGACGGUGAUAAGUCGCCCACUGCGGUUUCUUUCGCUGUUUUGUGUGGAAAUGUUUCCCCGGAUGAUAAUCGCAGAGGUUUGAGGCGAAAGUCCGCCCGCCACCCCCUGAUAAAGAGCCACGUGCUUCGAGUUCUCUUCCGUACAAUCGUUUAUUGUGGUGAAUUACAAAAAAAGCACACAAAAAAAAAAAGGUAAAAAAUAAUCACUUUCCGCUUAGCGUCUGCAGGUGUUUCUCUUCUCUUCUUUUUUUUUGUGGGUGGCCGUUGCAGGGAAAGAUGCCUCACAGUGUUUUCUUCUCUCUACGCUCUAGGGUUAAUAUGUAGGAUAUAUAAUGUAUAUGUGGUUUCUUGUUUUCGGACGGGCUGGGUGGCGCGAUUCGAAUGCGCUCCCACU